rnacentral:lncRNA from 1 species
GCCUCCCGGGCGGCGCUUGCCGGCGCGGCGGCAAAGACUUCACAUCCCUGUUAAAGGCAUCCCAUUUUUAUUUCUUUUGUAAAGAGUGGAAACUUUUGGCAGGAGAAUUAUCAACCACGUGACUCCUUUAGGUGUAAUAUUUGCUUAAGAUGUGAUAUACACCAAUGAAUGGUUUGGAGGUCAACUGCAGUGAGGUCUCUAUACCACAGAGUGUUGUUGGCGUCUCACAUGGCCAUUCAUCAGCUCAAUACAAACAAGUCUUCACGGAGGUGGAGUUUCCUCCUCACCUGUUGCUAAACCAGGCAGCGUGGAUUGGCAUAUUCACUGACUUCAUGGCACGAAGGCCUACAAAAGCGGAACAACUUUUCACCAGUGCAAAAAUGUUCCAAAAGAUACUCUCUCUGUCCAAUACACUUGUAAGUGCAUUCUAGAAUAUAAAAAAUAGAGAGAGAUAAAUGUUCUGUUGAAAGAUAAUCUCCCAAAAUAUAAGUUUUUAUGUAAGACAGUGCUCUCAAGUCAUAAAUGGUAAAUUCUUCUGAAAGUCACAGAGGAAAUUACUCUUAAGACCUCUGUCUUGUUAAGUUAUCAUAGUAAUAAAAUCUCAACCUACUAAGGUAACUUUCUAAACAUGUCAGAGCUUGAAAGUCUCUUGUAAACCUCUAAAUACAAAGAAAACCUAAGUUUAUUUAUUGAAGUUCAAGCUGUAGAAAUCUGACAGCUUUGAGGACUUUAAAAGAUACUGAAUCAACUGCUAUAAAAGGAAAACAGUCUUGACAAUUUUAAUUCAUAUAGUAUUACAACUGAAGAAACUAUUUGAUGAUUUAUGAAGGGCACAUUUGCCGGCUGUGUUUUGGAGUUUUUGCAUGAAAAGUGAAUUUGUACUCAGACUGUUUGCAUCUUCAAAGACCCAUGAGCUUGGCUGUAGGGGCAUGCAACAUUAGGUUUGGAAAUAUAUGAAAUAAAUAUUGCUAUGCCUUAAGAA